UACGUAGGGUGCAGGCGUCAAUCGGAAUUACUGAGCGUAAAGCGUGCGCAGGCGGCUUCUCAAGUCAGAUGUGAAAUCCCCGGACUUAACCUGAAAACUGCGUUUGAAACUGGAAGGCUGGAGUGCGGCAGAGGGGGGUGGAAUUCCACGUGUAGCAGUGAAAUGCGUAGAUAUGUGGAGGAACAUCAGUGGCGAAGGCGGCCUCCUGGACCAAUACUGACGAUCAGGUGCGAAAGCGUGGGGAGCAAACAGG
rnacentral:rRNA from 1 species